CUGCGGACAGCUAACCAUUCCACUUUAUCAGCCGGAAAAAAAGGGAGACGUUUUGGUUUCUAGAUUUACGAACAGUAAAUGGUGUAGAACGGGCUUCGCCCUGGCACCGUGUGUCAACUUGAUAACAAGAAACAACGUGUAAAUUACUUCUUGCAUGUCAUCAUUCAAAACAAACAGGCAACUAUAAGCAGUUGUUCCCAUAUUAAUCAUCUGUACAGAUCAAGGGCAUAGUGUCAUACAUAAAGAAGAACGGAACUUUAAGGAACGUUAACUCAAAGCCCAGGAAAACAGGUGACAGAAUAAGGUCUCCUAUUAGGUUUCUGAAUAUGGAUACAACCUUGAAGAAUGGCAUUUCUAAGUUUAAUGCAGCUAAUACAGCAAAGUAAAGAAUGAAGUGUUGUGAAGAAUUAGUGAAGAGGGAUUUUGUAACAUGUUGCACCAAGUUUCCCCAAACCAGUACUCUCUCCAGUGUUGUUGAACUUUGAUUCUUAAAAUUCCCAGCUAAAAUACCAGAUUGGAGAACAAUGUCUUAUACUAUUCAGUAAAGUAUAAGAAGCUAAAGCCACAGCAACUGAGAAAUGUUCCCAGUAUAAUCUAUUUAGUGUAAAAAAAAAAUUAGUACACACAAACACUCAUGUAAAUUGUAUCAAAAGUGGCUAACUUGCUUUGAUGAAAUAAUUUUGAGUGGAGGAUAGCCUAUUUAUUCAUAUCCUAUCUGCCAGAAUAUAAUAUUUGAGCUACAGCAUUUAGAUAUUAGAUUUGCUCAGACAAAUGAUCACAGCCCGCAGUCUGGCUUCUAGAAAUUACAACCAGUUGAUACUUAAUGCACAUCCUGCUGUUUGAAAUACUACAUGGAUAGAAAUAAGAGUACUGACUGAUACCCAUUUCCUUCUAAACUGCUGUUACAUACAGUGUGUUGAAAGCGUAAAACAUACAGUACAUGUCUGUAUUCAUUCCGAAAACAGCUAAAACAAAUCAAAAUAAUUUAUUUAAAAACUUUGAAAAUAUAAUAUGUGACUUUAUAUCCUGUUAUCAAGAAAUAAAAAGCAUUAAAUUUUGGGACCAACAUAUAAGAUACAAUAGUAAUUUUACCAUGGAUUUUAUUAUUACAAAACAGUUGGUUGAUUGAUUGAUACAUAUACAGAAUCAUAAUCUAUGUGUAGACAACUACUGUACAAUAGUUUCUAUUGUGAGUCAGUGUGGAAUAAUGGUUAAGGGAUCAGACUAGAAACUGGGAGACCGGGAGUUCUAGUCCUAUUUUAGCCACAAAGCCAGCUGGUGACCUUGGGCCGAUCUCUGUUAACCCUGGGAAAGAGGUAACUGCAAACAACAUCUAAAAACCUUGCCAAGAAAACUGCAGAGACUUGUCCAGGCAGUUAUCAGAGUAAAAGACUGACUAUUGGGCAACAACAACAAUAGAAGAUUCAAUUACACCUGCACUUAGGGGGCGGUGCUCAUCUUCGUUUCAAAGCCGAAGAGUCAGGGCUGUCCGAAGAUGUCUCCGUGGUCAUGUGGCUGGCAUGACUAAACACCAAAGGCGCAUGGAAUGCUGUUACCUUCCCACCAAAGGUGGUCCCUAUUUUUCUACUUGCAUUUUUUACGUGCUUUCGAACUGCUAGGUUGGCAGAAGCUGGGACAAGUAAUGGGAGCUCAUCCCAUUACGUGGCGCUAGGGAUUCGAACUGCUGAACUGCCGACCUUUCAAUUGACAAACUCAGCGUCCUAGCCACUGAGCCACUGGGUCCGUCUGUCUACUCUAUCUCUAUUCUAUAAGAUGUUUUAAGUACAUAUUGUGAAAACAAAUACAUAUUGCUGAUCAUCCCCAGAUUUAUCUUGGGAUCCUGAUCUACUUCUUGUUCAUUUCUACGUUAAAGGAAAUGCUUAAGCUAGAAUCUUUUUGGAUCAGGCUAAGCAAGUUUAUAUAUGACUAUGGCUGAGUUUAUACAACCCCAUUGAAUAUAGCCAGAUUUAUUUCAGGGUAAGAGUUCUCUGAUUUGCAACCUUACACAGAUGUUGGACUUUAUACACUCUUUGCUGAUGGUACAUAGUUUAGAAUUCACAAAUGUAGUAAUUUCCUAUAUUGGGAAGAAUGUUUGUGAUUAUUAUUUCUAAAUGUGCUAUUGGCCAACUGCAGCCUUAUAGACUUUUCACAUCUCAUGGGCAUUGCUUUUGAUUUCCAAAUGUAUUGCAUUGUUUAAUGUAAUUUUCUAUUUUAAAAAAGGUGGGUAAAGAGGCAACCAGCUACAAAAUUUGGUCUGAUUUUCUCAACAGCACUUUCUCUCUGUCUGCAUCUUUUAAAUGCAUCUUUGAUAAUGUAUAAAUAUAUUUAACAAUAAUUUUGUGAAACAAAUUAACUGAAGAUUCCAUCAUGAACCCAAGCUGAUAAAUUAAUACAGAUGUUUUUAUUUAUUUAUUUAAUUUAUUUGUUGCCCAUCUCAUAGGAAAUGAGUCUCAUAUAGCAAUGGUUUUCUAAAACAAUUUACUGAAUAAUCACAUUUGAUGGAAUGAAUGAAUUCCAUCAGAUGUGAUUAUUCAGUAAAUUAUGUUUUAGAAAAUCAUUAUAUUUUAGAAAACCACCAUUUACAAGAUCUAAGAUACAAACACAACAAACAAUUAACAAACAAACAAUAUUUUGAUUUAAUUUGGCAGUUAAGGUUUAUAGCAGAUGAUUGUUGCCUGAUGAUGGAGAACAACAUGUUUGCAGAACAUAUUAUUGAUAUUUAGAACUGUUCUUGUUAUUAUGGGCAUAUAUGCAUGUCAUUUAAAACUAAAAUAUAUGUCUAAAGUGAUCAUCUAUCUCUUGUAUAUUUCUGUAUCACUGGUCCCUGUUUAUUUUACAUGGGCAGCUGGAAUGUCCUUCACGUUUUGGGUGACCCCUUUGGAAUUAUAUACUCUUGGGAUCCAGUCCGAGCAUUUUUUCCUCAUUGCUCCCCAGCACACUCUCCUGAUGAGGUAGAAUAUCAGGACUUGAGGGAAAAGUCAUGAUUUCAUCCAUCUAAACAAAUCAGAAUUAUAAAUGAUGUGAAAAUGCCAUCUAAACAACAACAAUGCCAUCUAUUUUAUUAUGAUUUAGCUUUAUCCUUUAUUAUCUUUAUAACAAAGAAUCCAUCCACAUGUAAUUUUUAAAAAGCCCAAACUGCAUAUUGAAGAAUAAAUGUGAAUUUUAGAUAUACAUAA